rnacentral:rRNA from 1 species
UAGUAAUGGCAGGUCAGCAUACUGCCGUGAAUACGUUCCCGGGCCUUGUACACACCGCCCGUCACACCAUGAGAGUUGGAGAUACCCGAAGCCUGUGAGCUAACAUAUGAGGCAGCAGUCGAAGGUAGAAUCAAUGAUUGGGGUGAAGUCGUAACAAGGUAGC